AUAGGUACGUAUCGGAUUUACUGGGCGUAAGCGCGCGUAGGUGGUUAAUUAAGUCAAAUGUGAAAUCCCCGAGCUUAACUUGGGAAUUGCAUUCGAUACUGGUUAGCUAGAGUAUGGGAGAGGAUGGUAGAAUUCCAGGUGUAGCGGUGAAAUGCGUAGAGAUCUGGAGGAAUACCGAUGGCGAAGGCAGCCAUCUGGCCUAAUACUGACACUGAGGUGCGAAAGCAUGGGGAGCAAACAGGAUUAGAUACCCUGGUAGUCCAUGCCGUAAACGAUGUCUACUAGCCGUUGGGGGAUUUGAUCCUUUAGUGGCGCAGCUAACGCGAUAAGUAGACCGCCUGGGGAGUACGGUCGCAAGACUAAAACUCAAAUGAAUUGACGGGGGCCCGCACAAGCGGUGGAGCAUGUGGUUUAAUUCGAUGCAACGCGAAGAACCUUACCUGGCCUUGACAUAGUAGAGACUUUCCAGAGAUGGAUUGGUGCCUUCGGGAAUCUACAUACAGGUGCUGCAUGGCUGUCGUCAGCUCGUGUCGUGAGAUGUUGGGUUAAGUCCCGCAACGAGCGCAACCCUUUUCCUUACUUGCCAGCAUUUCGGAUGGGAACUUUAAGGAUACUGCCAGUGACAAACUGGAGGAAGGCGGGGACGACGUCAAGUCAUCAUGGCCCUUACGGCCAGGGCUACACACGUGCUACAAUGGUCGGUACAAAGGGUUGCUACACAGCGAUGUGAUGCUAAUCUCAAAAAGCCGAUCGUAGUCCGGAUCGCAGUCUGCAACUCGACUGCGUGAAGUCGGAAUCGCUAGUAAUCGCGGAUCAGAUGCCGCGGUGAAUACGUUCCCGGGCCUUGUACACACCGCCCGUCACACCAUGGGAGUUUGUUGCACCAGAGUAGUAGUCUAACCUUAGGAGGACGCUUACCACGGUGUGGCCGAUGACUGGGGUGAGUCUCGAGGGAACGACGAAUAUAAAA
rnacentral:rRNA from 1 species